AUGCAUUCUACGGAAGUCCAGCUUGGAGUACCUGCCUCUAAUAACCGCUCCUUCCAAGCUCCUUCAGCAUCUCUGGAUUUCAAAAGAAUUCAAACUCCAGCUUGGCAAAGAGGGCUCAGAGGUGCACCGACCCUUGGCUUAGAAAUGAGGAAACUGAAAGACCUCCAAGCAAAGUACAUGGCUGAACUGACUAAGAAUCUAUAACUCUACAGCAGGCAAAGGGAUAUCUGUUUACCAGUAGCUGCAGAGCAAGCAAUGGGUAGAGCUGAUCACUGAAUUACAUGAGAUCGAACAUGUGGCCACAGUGACUAGCCAUAACUUCUCAACAGAUGACAUGGCCUUCCUUGCCUGCUUGUUCUUGCCAGAAUUAGGAGAAACCAGGUCUUACACAGCACUGGCUACCAUGGUGGACAGUAGAUGCUCUCGGGCUGAUGGAGCAUGCCAAGUCGCAGAUCUUGCAGCCAUUAAAGUUUACUGCUGGUUUCAGAAGGGACUGUGCAGUCUCCAAAUGCAUCCAGAGAGUGAGACUCUUCAGCUUGCCCAGCCCUCAAGAAGGAUUCAUGGCGUCAGACUUCCAUCGGCCAUAAUUAAUCACAGACUUUCUCUGCCUGUCAGCAACUCCGGCUGCUCUCCCCAAAUGAACCUGGGCACUCUUAUCUCCAGCUUAUGUGUGGUGUCCAACCUGGCCAGCCUCAGACAAGAAACUGGAGCUGCGUCUCGGG
rnacentral:lncRNA from 1 species